AGGUCUAUGAUGGCAAGCCAAUGUCACAAAAAGAGGUGAUGACAUGAAAUUCAUGCUCAAGAGGAUUAUGCUGAGGCCC
ensembl:snoRNA SNORD115 Small nucleolar RNA SNORD115